AGUAAUCCAUGAUAAAUCAAACUUAAUGUUAAUCAAUGACCCAAAAUAAUUUCCUUAUAUUUUAGUUCAACACAAAACAAUCAAAAUUACUUUUAGUGUUUGCUACUUUAACCAAUUUUUUUUUACCACACCAGGGCAAAUGCACCUCAUCAUUAAGGGAAACAAAAACUUCCCUUGGUGCUUUGCAUGUUGCAAUUUAAGCAGACAAAAUGUUAAGAAAACUGGGAGGAUUAAAUCUACAAACUCAU
rnacentral:misc_RNA from 1 species